UAGGGAAUCUUCCGCAAUGGACGAAAGUCUGACGGAGCAACGCCGCGUGAGCGAUGAAGGCCUUCGGGUCGUAAAGCUCUGUUGUUAGGGAAGAACAAGUAUCAGUUAACUGCUGGUACCUUGACGGUACCUAACGAGAAAGCCACGGCUAACUACGUGCCAGCAGCCGCGGUAAUACGUAGGUGGCAAGCGUUGUCCGGAUUUAUUGGGCGUAAAGCGCGCGCAGGCGGUUCUUUAAGUCUGAUGUGAAAGCCCACGGCUCAACCGUGGAGGGUCAUUGGAAACUGGGGAACUUGAGUGCAGAAGAGGAGAGCGGAAUUCCACGUGUAGCGGUGAAAUGCGUAGAGAUGUGGAGGAACACCAGUGGCGAAGGCGGCUCUCUGGUCUGUAACUGACGCUGAGGCGCGAAAGCGUGGGGAGCAAACA
rnacentral:rRNA from 1 species